rnacentral:ncRNA from 2 species
GACUAAGUGACAUCUGACGGUUCCCCGAUGGAUGACUUCGAGGGGAUUAAUAGGGAACACGGUGCGGAAGACCCAACAGGGACCAAGACCGUGGCUGCCCCCGCAACUGUAAGCGGAUUGCCGAUCGCCAUCCGGCGCUUUUUUAAGAAGCGCCAAGCCACUGCAAGCCCUCGAGGCUUUCGGGAAGGCAGGCGAGAGACAGAUAUCCGUGAGCCAGGAGACCUGCCGUCGAAAGAAACAUCCA